AAAAAUCACUAAAUAAUAAUAAGACAUUUAUAAUAUUAAUAAAAACAUUUCAAUCUAGCUAAUAUUAUAGAGACAAUAUUUUGUAAUUAAUGCUUUUUAAUUGUUGCAUUGAUCGAUUACUUACAUAUUUUAAAUAUUACAUAGUUUUAUAUUUGUUAAAAUUGUAAUAAAAUUUUCGCGACACAUUGGUUGGGAAUCACUGCUGUAAUCUAUAUUUAAAACGUAAUAGUUUUGAACACGUAGGAAAUUGAACAAAAUACUUAUCAUUAAAUAUUAUUAAUACAUAGUGGAAAAAAAAUUAUAUUAUUUCCAUUUUAAAACAAAAAUAAAAAAUAUUCUUUUUAUAAUUAAAAAUAUAUAUCCACUUUUAAAUCAGAUCGAUAAAAAAGUGUAUAAUAUAUUCUUUGAUGCCAUAGAAUUUUAAUAAUUCAUUUUUGUAUGUUAUCAGAUAAGAAAGAUCGAAAAUCAUUGCUGUAUAAGAAGAUUGACGAAAGAAAUCGUCAAUCUUCUCGAAUUUCCUACCGUCAAUAUCUCAACAUCGAUACGGCGCAUUAGCUCGAUUAUUCAAGCCACGCCAGGCGCCACGUCGAGUCGCCAGUAGCGACUUCUGAAUGCAUCUGUAGCCGAUCGAAACAAAAAUCGAGAAGGGUCCUCUUGCCCGUGAUCCGCCCGAAGAAAAAGAACAAUAAAGAGGUCACGAUCCCGACAGGUACGAAACGAAUAGGUAUCCCUUUUGGCCGAGUACCAUGACACGUCGAAUUUAGGGGCAUAGCUAUUCCUAUGUUGAUCCUUUUUUAAGUCCUCCCUGCGAUGGACAUUCCCCCGCUAAACCGAAAAGAACAAAGUCCUACAUAUCUUCGAGAAGUAGGCGCAUGUUAUCGCCACUUGCAUUAACGCGUUGGCGCGAAUGGACGCUUGCAAGCUGAAUCAACAGACUACACGAGUUGACUAAUUCCUUUCCACAAGGUAAAAUUUCAGCGUAGUGAGGAACACGCGCUUGCACCGUGGGUGGGCGCCCUCUCGUGUUCGUGCUUCGAAAUCUUGUUGAAUCAAGGUUUUCGUGAUUAUGUUCGAAAAAAUGUGAUAUGUUCGGAACCGUAAUAAUCAUCAUCAUAAAUUAAUCGAAAUUCGAUCGAUCGAUAAUCGUCUAUUUGAUUUUUAUAGAUUAUCUUGAUAAAAAUUAGUGAAAUUAUUUGCAGUAAAUUAAUUGCAGAAGGAUCGGUUGAACACUAUUUAAUUGAAAAAUAUGCAAAAAAAAAAUCAUGUAAAAUAUGAUCUAUAUGAUUCGAAGAUAUCGAAGAAAUAGAAAAAAUUUCUCAAGAAGAGAUCCUAUCGAUGGACAAAUAAUCAGAAUCCCCGCCAUCGUUUUCGUAAAUACAGUGAGGUGUGCUGUUAUUAGGUUAGGUUUCUGACGUCAAGUGUGGGAUUAUCUUAAUAAAGGAAAAAUUUCGAAUUACGCAAGUGAAUGGAGACUACCAAUCGUGACGGUUACUCUGACGAUUUGCGAUACAGAAAAUAGAUAACGAAGAAAUAAUCGCAUUCGAUGCACUUGCCCAAAAAUUGAAUCUCUCUUGGAUACAUUCAAGACAAAAUAAUUUGAAUGAUCUUCAUUUCGCGUGAAGUGAGUCGUCCUUGAAUUCUUUGUAUUCCUAUAGCAUUUGGUCAUUAUAAAACUUUUGCGUGCAACUGAAAAGAUCAACGAGCUGUCAAUAAUCAUCACGCGUUUUAUCUUCGCUCAAAUUGUCGUGUCUGGCAGAUGCAUGCAAUUUCUUCAAAUUACAUUCAUUAAUUGCAACAUUCCGACUGUCUUUGAACAUAUGAAAAAGAUGGUAUUUCUUCUGGACAUAGAACAGAUGCACACCAACCAACCGUGAACGUUACGAUAAAUGGUCUAUUCUUUGUGAAAUGAAAAAUCAAACGGGACUUAUUCUCCAGGCUCACGACCUUUCGCGAACAAAACUAAAAAAAUAGACGAGAUUCGUGAUCUUUCGAAAGAAGAUGAAUAUUAUGUUCCAUGAAAAACUUUUCAUGAUUUUCUUUAAAAAUAAUUUUUUGAUUAAUUUUAAUUUUUAUUAUAUUUCCAAGAUUGGUGCAUGUGUACUUCUUAAUCAAAAAUCAAAAGAUUUUUCGCAAUAAUUCAAGAUUCAUUCAAGAUUAUCGACAUUUCCACAUGAGAUUACUAAUUGGAUAACAAUCUAAUCUUGAAUCAUAGGUCAGAAUUUGUUUUUUUCAUGCGUGUCAAUAAAUAAGCUUCAAGAUUCACCUGUUAUUAUCAAAGCCAGUGUUUCUCAAUCAUUUUCUCGGUUUUUCCAUUAGCUUAGCCAUCUGUAUUCCUAUAUGGAAAUAUAUCAAGAAUAUAAAUCAAGAAUCGACGUGUUUUUCUUUUUUCAAGAAUCACAUGAUCGUUUCGUUUCAUGAAUUAUUCCCGUUUAACCUUUCUUAUGACGCAAGAAGCCAUAUUGUACGCGUACAUGAUGGAAACGAUUCUCGAGGAGAGAUUAAGGAACGAUCACAGAAACAUUAGAGGAUUGGCAUAAUAAGGAGACAAAGAAUGGUGCACGAUAUCCUGGUGGCGACACAACAGAUGCCAGACGGAAGAUAGACAUUGAAGAAAAAAAAAGAAAGAAAAAAAAAAUUAAGGAUUUCCCGGGGAACACAGGCUGCUAUUGUCUCCUGAUCUUAACUCGAAAAUGAUCGGUACCUGAUCCCAACUUCCAACCAAUCAUAUCGUCAAGAUCUUUCUUUGGUUACUCAGUCGAUGUUUUAGAUCGAUUAUCGCUUAUCCAAUUAUCCAUUACGUUGAUUUAUCUUCCAAGUAAUUCAAAUAUUCGACAUUCCAUGGGAUUGAUCACUGGUGACGGAGCAGAAGGAGACGAGCAUCGAAGUUCACGGACCUCCAAGCAAGAAUUUACACGGCACCCGUGUGCGUUUGCGGCGUUUCGACUUGCACCGAGGCAAUGAAACACAGCAUAUAUAGAACGCGUGGCACUUUGCGUGUGGCUGCCACUACAGAAAUACCCUGUGAACAGAGCAGGGUGCAGGGUAUCGGUCCUCUCGCGAGAGGACCGAGUAUAGGGUCUUCGUAGUCGGCCUCGCAGCGGGGGUUGAAAUUCCCUGGUGGCUCGCCUCGCGGUACCGCGUCGUCUAACGUAGACGUCCUCGGCGCACAUUUUUAUUCGAUCGCGCUGUUGGGGGCUACCAGCCAGCCGUGGUUCUCCUCUUUUUUCCACCGAUACCCGCGCGAGCCUCGAGUGCCGUGAGAGAGGAAGACCGUGGCCUCUUGUCUCUCUGCGAAAACCCACGUGAAUUCCGUGAAACCCCCGCGGUUACCUUCGAUGACCCUCCAAAACUGCUUCGAUCGCCAACUUUUGCACGUAAGUGCUUCCUAAGCCGACGAUUCUUUCCCACAAUUCUCACGAGGAGUGACCAAUCUCGAGUCGACGAAACCAGUCGACAACCUUUGUCUCACGGGGCAAGAGAGCCAAUUGGACCACCUAAUUCGAGUGCAACCACCGGGAUCCGUCUACUUAUUAAGCAAACUGGAACAACCCAUCGUCGACGGUUUCGUCUGAAUGGCGAAAGACGACCCUCUUUCUCGGAUUAUUCCUCCGAGCUUUUCUCAAACGCAAGAGGGAGGGCGUUCCCGGCGUCUCGGUCAGGUAGUCGAACCAAUUAGAAUAAUUGUCGUCCCUCGAACGAUCUGGUUGCUCGAGGAUCGCGUCACUCGCACGGAAUCCUCGAAAUCGAAUGGCCGUGGUGUGGUGACCUUGCGGGGUAACACGAGAGCGGCGACGAGGACGCCGCUGGGGAUGAACGACGUAUCCUUCGGUGAUUUAUCACGUUUCAGGAUGGAAUAUUAAUAUCGGUAUGGCGUGCGCCUCCGCUCCUUUUCCAGGCAUCACGAUCGUCCACGGCCGAGAGAGUCACACGAACGAUCGUGUACGUGUGCACACGUCUCUCUGGAUCACGAUGCGCGUGCGCGCGCACACAUAUAUAAACCCAUAGGUAUUACGAACGGGACAGAGGAUAGCUACCGGUCACAGCAGGAGAGCACGCCGGGGGUCCUCUACCUCUCCGCCGACUUGAACCUCGCUACCGAGAAAGAAGCGAACUUUCGUUUUAUCCUCUCUUUUCUUUUUCCUCUCCAGCCUCGCCGGCCUCUUCCUCCUCCGCGGUUAUCCUUUGUUCAUCUUCUUCCAUUGCGGCUUCUUCCUCGUCCCGCUUCGUGCUUCUUCGGCUCCCUUCGUGGCGACGUGACGGCGCUACUGUCUGCUGAUUCGUCGAGCUCGCGCGGUCACGUGACCACUUUAUAAGGAACGCGGCGCCGCUCACCGCUUCACUCGCCCGCUGCGCUCCCUUUCGCGAGGUUCUUCCGUGCCGUUCUCUUCUACGUUUGCAUUCAAUGUUAUUAGAUAUUGUAGCUAUUAUUAGAUGUUAAGGUAUGCCAAUUCUUCGUGUUUUUGAAAUAAUUUCGUUCUAAUUUUUUUUUUCUUUUUAAUUUAAACGAUCAAUUUAAUUGAUCUAUUUCUAUUAGAAGAGAAGAAAUUUUAUUUUGAAGAA
rnacentral:lncRNA from 1 species